rnacentral:lncRNA from 1 species
GCACCCGCGUCCAAGCUUGAAGAGCUGAGUUGGAUCACUAGGACUCACACUGUGGGGUGGAGAGCUGCUGGUUAAGCUGCUUUGUUAUGUUUUCAUCUGGGGAAGUAGCUUUUGAAAAAAAGGUGGUGCUGGUCCAGUCCAUCUGCAGCUGUGGUUAAACUCCGGGUUUAGAAAAGACCAGUAGCUCCGCCAGAAGCAAAUACACGGGACAGGUGUGCAGCAUAAUCCAAGCACUCAAGUGAGCAACUCACAGGGACUGGCAGCUGCCUGAGUCUUUGGAAGAAGAGUGCUAGGGUUGACCACACUCUGCCAUUUGCUUCCUGUCAAGGGGAUCCGAUGAGUUCUUCACUACACACAUUUAAAGGAUGGCAGGAAGAUGAGAGGG